rnacentral:rRNA from 1 species
AAUUGUUCACAAUGGGCGCAAGCCUGAUGACGCAACGCCGCGUGGGGGAUGAAGGUCUUCGGAUCGUAAACCCCUGUCGAACGGGACGAAAGACUCUGGAGCUAAUCAUCCGGAGAGUGACGGUACCGUUAAAGGAAGCCACGGCUAACUCUGUGCCAGCAGCCGCGGUAACACGUAGGGACCAAGCGUUGUCCGGAUUCAUUGGGCGUAAAGAGCUCGUAGGCGGCUCAGUAAGUCGGGUGUGAAACCUCCAGGCUCAACCUGGAGACGCCACCCGAUACUGCUGUGGCUAGAGUCCAGUAGGGGAGCGUGGAAUUCCUGGUGUAGCGGUGAAAUGCGCAGAUAUCAGGAGGAACACCAGCGGCGAAGGCGGCGCUCUGGGCUGGAACUGACGCUGAGGAGCGAAGGCGUGGGGAGCGAAC